rnacentral:ncRNA from 1 species
AAGCGAGGACGACCUCCUUACGGCUCACCGGCUCGGGACGACCCGA